AUUGAACGCUGGCGGCAGGCUUAACACAUGCAAGUCGAGCGGAGCGAAGGUGCUUGCACCUUAGCUUAGCGGCGGACGGGUGAGUAAUGCUUAGGAAUCUGCCUAUUAGUGGGGACACCGUUUCGAAAGGAACGCUAAUACCGCAUACGUCCUACGGGAGAAAGCAGGGGAUCUUCGGACCUUGUGCUAAUAGAUGAGCCUAAGUCGGAUUAGCUAGUUGGUGGGGUAAAGGCCUACCAAGGCGACGAUCUGUAGCGGGUCUGAGAGGAUGAUCCGCCACACUGGGACUGAGACACGGCCCAGACUCCUACGGGAGGCAGCAGUGGGGAAUAUUGGACAAUGGGCGAAAGCCUGAUCCAGCCAUGCCGCGUGUGUGAAGAAGGCCUUUUGGUUGUAAAGCACUUUAAGCGAGGAGGAGGAGCUUCAGGUUAAUACCCUGGAUGCUUGGACGUUACUCGCAGAAUAAGCACCGGCUAACUCUGUGCCAGCAGCCGCAGUAA
rnacentral:rRNA from 1 species